rnacentral:rRNA from 1 species
AUUGAACGCUGGCGGCAGGCCUAACACAUGCAAGUCGAGCGGAUGACGGGAGCUUGCUCCUUGAUUCAGCGGCGGACGGGUGAGUAAUGCCUAGGAAUCUGCCUGGUAGUGGGGGACAACGUUUCGAAAGGAACGCUAAUACCGCAUACGUCCUACGGGAGAAAGCAGGGGACCUUCGGGCCUUGAGCUAGCAGAUGAGCCUAGGUCGGAUUAGCUAGUUGGUGAGGUAAUGGCUCACCAAGGCGACGAUCCGUAACUGGUCUGAGAGGACGAUCAGUCACACUGGAACUGAGACACGGUCCAGACUCCUACGGGAGGCAGCAGUGGGGAAUAUUGGACAAUGGGCGAAAGCCUGAUCCAGCCAUGCCGCGUGUGUGAAGAAGGUCUUCGGAUUGUAAAGCACUUUAAGUUGGGAGGAAGGGCAGUAAGCUAAUACCUUGCUGUUUUGACGUUACCGACAGAAUAAGCACCGGCUAACUCUGUGCCAGCAGCCGCCGUAA